rnacentral:rRNA from 1 species
CUCCGGUUGAUCCUGCCGGACCCGACUGCUAUCAGAGUGGGACUAAGCCAUGCGAGUCGACGUAGCAAUAUGUGGCAUACGGCUCAGUAACACGUAGUCGACAUGCCCAGGGGACGUGGAUAACCUCGGGAAACUGAGAAUAAACCACGAUAGGUCACGAUUUCUGGAAUGGAUCAUGGCCUAAAUCUACAUGGCCCCUGGAUUGGACUGCGGCCGAUCAGGCUGUUGGUGAGGUAAUGGCCCACCAAACCUAUAACCGGUACGGGCUCUGAGAGGAGAAGCCCGGAGAUGGGCACUGAGACAAGGGCCCAGGCCCUAUGGGGCGCAGCAGGCGCGAAACCUCUGCAAUAGGCGAAAGCCUGACAGGGUUACUCUGAGUGAUUUCCGCUAAGGGGAUCUUUUGGCACCUCUAAAAAUGGUGCAGAAUAAGGGGUGGGCAAGUCUGGUGUCAGCCGCCGCGGUAAUACCAGCACCCCGAGUGGUCGGGACGAUUAUUGGGCCUAAAGCAUCCGUAGCCGGUUCUGCAAGUCUUCCGUUAAAUCCAGCCGCUCAACGGAUGGGCCGCGGAGGAUACUACAGGACUAGGAGGCGGGAGAGGCAAGCGGUACUCAGUGGGUAGGGGUAAAAUCCGUUGAUCCAUUGAAGACCACCAGUGGCGAAGGCGGCUUGCCAGAACGCGCUCGACGGUGAGGGAUGAAAGCUGGGGGAGCAAACCGGAUUAGAUACCCGGGUAGUCCCAGCUGUAAACGAUGCAGACUCGGUGAUGAGUUGGCUUAUUGCUAACUCAGUGCCGCAGGGAAGCCGUUAAGUCUGCCGCCUGGGGAGUACGGUCGCAAGACUGAAACUUAAAGGAAUUGGCGGGGGAGCA